rnacentral:rRNA from 1 species
UAGGGAAUCUUCCGCAAUGGGCGCAAGUCUGACGGAGCAACGCCGCGUGAGUGAAGAAGGAUUUCGGUUCGUAAAACUCUGUUGUUAGAGAAGAACAGCGCAUAGAGUAACUGUUAUGCGUGUGACGGUAUCUAACCAGAAAGCCACGGCUAACUACGUGCCAGCAGCCGCGGUAAUACGUAGGUGGCAAGCGUUGUCCGGAUUUAUUGGGCGUAAAGCGAGCGCAGGCGGUCAAUUAAGUCUGAUGUGAAAGCCCCCGGCUCAACCGGGGAGGGUCGGUGGAAACUGUUUGACUUGAGUGCAGAAGAGGAGAGUGGAAUUCCAUGUGUAGCGGUGAAAUGCGUAGAUAUAUGGAGGAAACCCAGUGGCGAAGGCGACUCUCUGGUCUAUAACUGACGCUGAGGCUCGAAAGCGUGGGUAGCAAACAGG